GGGAAGGGCUGUUUUAAGUUUCCUCUUUGUUUACUUCUGCAGGUUGGGCAUUUGUAUUAAUAGCAGUAAAGCUUUCUUUGUUUUACAAAGUACUUUCACGUAAGACAGCCAGUACUGUGAGGAAGGUUUCAGUUCCAUUUUACAGAUGGGAAAGCCAAGGCCUUUGGUAACCAGUAGACCAUUUAGCAUCUACUGUUCUUGUAAAUAGGGACCCUGAGUCAGCUGGGGCUCAGGCUGAGUCAGACCUGGGUGUCAUGCUGGGCAAUAGGAAAACUCUUGGAAUUGCAGACUUGAUAAAUGUUAACUUGCGCGUGAAAGGCAAUAUAAUGACCCCUUUCCUCAUCCCCUACCCACCCCCAUCAGCGUAGGUAAUCUCAAGGUCACUGUGUCCGUGUGCUUUUGGGUACCGAUGGGACCAAGAUAGCAUUGCUGUAUAGUUUGAGAAGCUUUCAUUUUUAUUUUUGGGGGGAGCAGAGAGGCCAUAGGGGCAAGGCCCUUGUCUCUAGAAACCCACGCAGUUUUCGGGUUAUUAGAGGGUCCAUUUGGGGGUAAGCCUGAGCGGAAACUCCAUGUGCCUUGGGUUCUAAGGGCUCAGUGAUGGGGAUUUUGAGGGCUCUGCAGCCUUCCUCUGUAUUGGCAUUGUUGCAGUCUCGUCCUGUCUUUCUGCAGGUCUGUUCUGACUCUAGGCAUCAGCUGUGGGUGCAGGGCCUGUCUGAGAUGCCCACACCCCACUGUUUCCAAAGCGGGGGUGGGGGCUGUCUUUGCCUCAGAACCCCUUGGGCUCCUGAGGAAUGUCCAUCAUUUUUAGCUGACACACUGUAGGCCAGGCUUCCUCUUCCCUGUUGCCCCGCCUGUACUUUCAGAGGAGAAGAUGAGCCUGAGUGGGCAGGGAGGAGGUUAGAGGUGAAGGUCCUGCCUCACCCAGGGCAGCUUAGAUUUGAAAAACACAGAGCCAUGCUCAUGUUCCUGGGGCAGGGUGUGCUCGGACAGCCCCGUCUGUUUUUUCCAUUUGGUUGGGAAAGUGGAGGAGUAAGACUGGCUGCAGGCCAGGCAUAGUUUCCCCCUUUCCUAUGGUGAAUGAAAAUGGACGAUUGUUUCGAGAAGUGGGUAUGAGUGGGAGGCAGUAGAAGAGCGUGGCCUUGGAAUCAGACCUACCCUGCUUUCCCACUCAGCUCAGCCACUCACCAGCUGUGUGGCCUUGAGCAGAUUUAACCCUCAGAGGCUCAGUGUUACCACUUGUAGAAUGGAGAUGAUAAUGUUACCACUGCCUGUCCCUGGAGGAGGGUCACUACCAGAAUAUUGAUGAUUACCUGGGGGUGGGGGAUUCUGGGAUGAUAAAGGGUAAAGGGUAACUUCCUAAACUUUCUUUUUGUUUUAUUUGCUUCUCACUAUUGGCGUGCAUAACUUCAUUAAAAUUACGUUGAAAAAUAACCCCUCAUGCCGUUGUUAUGAAAAUCAAAUAAAAUGGGGGUAUUUAAAACACUAGCGCAGUGUCUAACAACUAAAAGGUACACAAAUGGCAGUUUAUUUGAGGAAGAAGUGCUUUUAAGUAGUAUUUGAUCCUUGCUUUUUGUAGUGUUAGAUUUUCCGUCUGGCUUGUGUACCUUGGGUAAGUCUCUUUGUUAAGCCCCAGUUCUUCAACUGAAAACGGGAGCUCACAUCAGUAUCUACUACAUAUGGGGGUUUGCAGGAGACACAUAAAGCGGCUAGCCUGGUACCUGGCGCAUAGUAGGUGCUCAGUAAAUAUUAACCGUGACCAGCUGUUAGCCUCACAGCUGUGCUAGAAGUGAGGUGGGAGUGAGGCCCACUUGAGAGUUACCGAGUGUGAGGCACAGAGUGGUUUGGGACAGGUGUCCUGUCUCACAGCCAAGUGCUGAGUUAGCAGCUGGAGUGGCGAUGCUGAUGCUCACGUGGCCCAUGGCCUGGGUGGCCGCAGGGAGGUCUCCCAGGUGGGCAGACACCGAGCACCGGCUGUGGCUGUGGCUGGGAAACACGCCGCUGGUCUGGAGAGCGGGGUUUUUGGAGGGUCAGUGCGUCAGCGAAGGGGAGAGGCCAGUUUAGAACCACGUCCCUUCUCUGCUUUCCAAGGCAGAUGGACGGCAUCCAGACGGACAGAGUGAGGGCCUUGUUUCCUCUUGCUUCUCUUUCACAUCCUCCUGGCUUGGCAGGUGUUGGACUCCUAACCACCGCCCUUGCUGUGGAUUCAGUUUUCUCAGCUCCUUCAGUGCUGCCACUGGAGUCCCGCUGACAGCCCCCCCCCCCCCCCCCCCACCCCCCCCCCCCGCCCCCCCCCCCCCCCCCNNNNNNNNNNNNNNNNNNNNNGCUCUCUACCCCCCGCUGUCCCUGCCAUGGCUUCCCAGCUGCUCCUCGAUCGCGGCCUGUCUGCACAGCUGCACGUGUGAGUUGAAGCCAGACCUGGUGGGAAGUAGCUUUUGUGCUUCACUGUGGGCUCCUGCUCUGUGUAUUCUCAUUUUGACAGGGAAAAACCCCGAGGGAUCUCUGCCCAGGACUGUUCCCAGAGAGUGAGAGCUUCUCCUCCCCGGACGAGGUCACGGGCCAGAGCUGAUUGUGCCCAGCUUCUCACUGUGGGUUUGUGCAGUACCCUUCCCACCCUUGCCCUUUCAUUGCUCUCUUUAUCAGACUUGACCACACUUGCCUUGCUCCCUUCUUCCCAGGGAUCACAAAACACCUACCAUUUGGUGAAAAAUCCAGGCAAUGCAGUGUUUAAAGUUUUACCAAUCCAGGUUUGCCUCAUGGAGUGGGGGAAGGAGUGUGCAUAUUUGUAGACUCUUGCACUUGAUAGUUUUUAAUUCUGUUUUCGUGUGUUUCAAAUACACCCUUUUCCAUUUGCAUUGAGUGGUGGCUGGCAAGCCUUGUACUCCAUGUUUUUUGGGAGUAUAUCCUUGCUAUAGAUCUUGGGUUCAGGUCUUAUGAUUACUUGCCUGUCACGGCCUGAAAAGGCCUACUUUUGAGGCAUCACCAACCAAGUCAUUGCACCUUGAGACAAGUCUGCUCUGACUCCUAGGCUGCUUGCCUUUCCUUAUUUAUGGCGGCCUGGAGACCUCCAUCAAGUGCAUCCAAGUGCUUCCUGUUGGCUUGGCAAAAGGAAGAUACUUGGAGGAUCUUAAAGACCUCUCGGAGGGGCCCCUUUUACUCUUAGUUAAUUGCAAAAUGAGACUCUUUAGUGGAGAAGCCACUCUCCCACCCACUUUAUGAAAGCCCCUCUAGGACACCAGUUGUUCCAGCUGGUUAUCAAGCUUCUGUAGUAUUUAUGUGUUUUUUGAAGCUCGACUUGCUUCAGUUGAGCAGUUAUAAGGGGUGAUAUCUGUAAGUUUUAGAGGAGAUACUUAGUAAAGAACCAGACUCUGGGUUUCUUUCAGGCCUAAUCAUGAACUGGCAGGAGCAGCUUUAGGGCUCCAGGGAGAGAGGAAUGGCACGGUGCCUUGGAGCUGUCAUCCAGGAUGCCACCUUUUGGGAACCAAACUGUAGGCAGUUCCUGGCCUCUGUGAAGUUGUGCCUGGGCCUUAUCAGAAAUGAACCAGAUGGUGUUUCUAGCAAAACUGGCAGAUGCUCUUGCUGUCAGAAUUAAUUUUAAAAUUUUACAUGUAAAUCUGGAAUUAUGGGAAUUUUUCUUUUGGGGUUUCAGUUGCAUGUGGAAGCACUACACUUACCUUCCAGAGGCCGUUCUUUAUCUCUUGCUUCUGGCCAGAAAUGACUCUCAACUCCGUGUCCUCCCAGCCCCUCUGGUUACCCUCCUCACCAGGUGGGUCCCUUGCGGUGGGCAGAUAUAAAGUGACCGGUCCUCUCUUUAGCGUAAUUUGAAGGUUGCUGGUGGGACCCUGAGCCCAGAACGUGCCUAGCGCAGAGAUGACAUGGGUGACUCAAAUGUUCAUCAUUCGAAUCACUCCUUUGGGUUGAGACCUUUGGAUGUAGCAGGUAUGAUACCUAGAAAAAGUGACUGUAUCAGAGUCACAAAGCCCAGAAGAGAAAGAAGAGAAAUCCUGUGGGGAGUGGGCUCCUUGCAGGAAGUGGGGAGGGGAUGCUCUUGGCUGGACACGCGCUGUGCCUGGGUGGGCCUGUCUCCACUGUGCAGAUCAGAAAACCAAGCUCUGAAAGGUUGAAUACUGUAAUUUACUGCGUGGGGCUCGAACCAAGGUUGGAGUGAUCCCAAAACCUGUGCUGUUUUCAUAGCAGAUAAAAUAUAUAUGGAUUAGGAAGUUGGGAUGGAGGAUGAGGUGGCUCGGGAGGCAGAAAACAAAUGCCUGAGAGAAGAAGCGGGGGGAGGUGAGCUUCAGUGGAUGGUCCCGGGUGAAGGAUGUGGAAAGGCGGCGUUGAUCAGCAACAGUAAUCAAGUGGGGAAAAAAGAAGGAAAAAAAGGGUUGUGGUAUCACUCGGGGGGCGGUGUGUACCCUCGGAGGAUGGCAGCUCUUCCCUGAAGGAAGCUCCGUGGAGUUUAUUUGGGGUCUGCUGGUGGGAGUUGGGGCCUGCUGGAAGCCUCGUAAUCCCUAGUAUUUAUAGACUGGCCUGUACUCUACUCGGAAGCAACUCCCAUUUCAGUUAGCGAAGGCAGCAUUAUCUGCCUUUGAAAGACUGCAUUUAUGGAUCCCCAUUUGGCCCAGCAGGAGGGGCUGGGUAAUGCCCUGUUAUAUUAUCCUGGUUCCCUGCUGCCUCAGAGGUUGUGCAGGGACAGUUCUGCCUUUCUUCUAAGUGACCUCUGGCUGCUCCCUCUCCUGCAGAUGCUCCUUCCUCUCGGGGAUGAGGCAGGGGUCAGGACUAGGGAAGUCAGCGCUCCUGUCUCUGUGUUCAGGGUAGCCAGGACUUCCCCAGAACCGUGAUUCUGAUUUGUUUCCCAGCACCUCGACGUAAGGCUUGGGUUCCUCUGUUCAUAGCCUAGUCAGCCCUAACUGUAAACCUUCAGUUCAGCAUCGAUUUAUUGACACCUACUGGCGUGUGUGUGGGGAGUGCUAUACAAAGAUGACAGGGACAGGUCCCCGACCCAGCCACUGGGACUGAUGAGCAGACAGCUCAUGAGGAACAGGAUGGGUCAGUUCCUUUUCCUUACAGCAGGAAGAGUCAGUAAACUUCCCUGUCUAACUUAAAUGGUGACUGUGAGGGCUGAUUGUAAUAAUUAUGAAUUGAGACUGCUUCAGAAGUGUAAAAUGCUAGAUUCAUGCAAAGCCUUCUUAAUAUUACGAGAUGGAGUCAUAAUAAAAGAUAACCCAUAUUGAGUGCUUUCCGUGUGCCAGGCAACUGUUCUAAGUGCUUUAUAUGUAUUUAUUUAAUCUUCACAGCAGCUUCGAAGUAGGUUGUUUAUAUCCAUUUUAUAGGUGUGAGAAUUGAUGCCAAAAGUGGAUUAAAACACCCCUACCUUUCUAGGAUGGCGCAGGUGGUUAAGUAGCAGCAGACCCAGGCAAUCCGAAGUCUCGGCUGCAUUGUGCAGCCUCUGUAAAGGAAGCCCUUUACAGAGCCCUGCGGAAGUCAGAGACUAGAAGGAGUCCCACCUUAAGGGGAGGCAGCAACCAAGGGCUUACCCUCGGAGAGACCAGAAAGGAGCCGGAGAGACCAGAAAGGAGCCGGGAAAGGUCAGGCUGGUGCCCAAGAAAGCAUUAGCAUUUCUGCACAACUUAAUCACAUCACUGAAACCGUUUCCGAACUUGGAGCCAUCUUUCUUGGAUAGUAAUGUAAUUGAAAUAGAUAAUUUAAGCCAAAGAGGAAGGACAGAAUUGAUGAGCUCGCAUAUGUGGAUGGACACUUAUUAACUUCUGACUAAAACACAGAGAGGCAGGACCUUAAAGCCAGUGCAUCUUUAUUCAGUUUACAAAUGAGGGCAAAGACCCCGGCACUGCUUGGGACUUUUAAAAAACACACAUUUGAUGGGACAUGACAAUGUGAGAAAAAAGAACAUAUACAUGUGUGUGUAACUCGGUCACCUUGCUGCACAGUAGAAAAUUGACACAACACUGUAAACCAGCUCUAA
rnacentral:lncRNA from 1 species